CCUACGGGAGGCAGCAGUGGGGAAUAUUGGACAAUGGGCGAAAGCCUGAUGCAGCAACGCCGCGUGAAGGAAGAAGUGUUUCGGCUUGUAAACCUCUAUCAACAGGGACGAAAGAAAUGACGGUACCUGAAUAAGAAGCCCCGGCUAACUACGUGCCAGCAGCCGCGGUAAUACGUAGGGGGCAAGCGUUAUCCGGAAUUAAUGGGCGUAAAGGGUGCGCAGGCGGCAAGGUAAGUCAGAUGUUAAAGCCUUGGGCUUAACCCGAGGAUAGCAUUUGAAACUAUCAAGUUAGAGUCCAGGAGAGGAAAGCGGAAUUCCAAGUGUAGCGGUAAAAUGCGUAGAUAUAAGGAAGAACACCAGUGGCGAAGGCGGCUGUCUGGACUGAAACUGACGCUGAGGCACGAAAGCGUGGGGAGCGAACAGGAUUAGAUACCCUUGUAGUC
rnacentral:rRNA from 1 species